rnacentral:rRNA from 1 species
UACGUAGGGCGCAAGCGUUAUCCGGAAUUAUUGGGCGUAAAGAGCUCGUAGGCGGUCUGUCGCGUCGGCUGUGAAAACUCGGGGCUCAACUCCGAGCUUGCAGUCGAUACGGGCAGGCUAGAGUUCGGCAGGGGAGACUGGAAUUCCUGGUGUAGCGGUGAAAUGCGCAGAUAUCAGGAGGAACACCGGUGGCGAAGGCGGGUCUCUGGGCCGAUACUGACGCUGAGGAGCGAAAGCGUGGGGAGCGAACAGG